rnacentral:misc_RNA from 1 species
AAGUCGUAACAAGGUUUCCGUAGGUGAACCUGCGGAAGGAUCAUCAACAAAAGGGAAAAAUGCGUGGCGGGCGCAAGUCCGUUUCACGUUUAUUCCCGAAAAUCCUGUAUUCACCCCAAGUUCCUUAAAAAUUUUAAUAAAAACUAUGCAAAAGACCACCUGAUCAGGUGGCAUCUAAUGCAAAAGCGAAAACUUUCAACAACGGAUCUCUUGGCUCUC